GUCUUUCUCAACUGCUCCACAAUGGAAUAUUCUUGCACCUUCAUCUUUCUCAAUAACUCUUGCUCUUCUUCGGUCACAGCUUUCUUCGAUAACACAUGGUUAUCUUUGGAGGUUUUUGCUUUUCUUAUCUCCUCGAGGGAGAAACAUCUCCCCAGGCGAGUCAAACCAUGGGUCUCGUAGACUUCUUCUUUAACUUCUUUUCCUUUGAAUGUCAAUAUCAACCGUUCAUAAUUCCACGGGAUAGCAUUG
rnacentral:lncRNA from 1 species